rnacentral:rRNA from 1 species
GACGAACGCUGGCGGCGUGCUUAACACAUGCAAGUCGAACGGAAAGGCCCUGCUUUUGUGGGGUGCUCGAGUGGCGAACGGGUGAGUAACACGCGAGUAACCUGCCCUUGACUUUGGGAUAACUUCAGGAAACUGGGGCUAAUACCGGAUAGGAGCUCCUGCUGCAUGGUGGGGGUUGGAAAGUUUCGGCGGUUGGGGCUGGACUCGCGGCUUAUCAGCUUGUUGGUGGGGUAGUGGCUUACCAAGGCUUUGACGGGUAGCCGGCCUGGGAGGGUGACCGGCCACAUUGGGACUGAGAGACGGCCCAGACUCCUACGGGAGGCAGAAGGGGGGAAUAUGGCGCAGUGGGCGGAAGCCUGAUGCAGCAACGCCGCGUGCGGGAUGACGGCCUUCGGGUUGUAAACAGCUUUCGCCUGUGACGAAGCGUGAGUGACGGUAAUGGGUAAAGAAGCACCGGCUAACUACGUG